AUUACUAUUGAAUGAUGAUUAUUUUCUCAAUUUACAACAGUUUUAUCUCCUUCAAGGAGCUUGAUUAUUAUUGAAUGAUGAUUAUUUUCUCAAUUUACAACAGUUUUAUCUCUUGAUUAUUAUUGAAUGAUGAUUAUUUUCUCAAUUUAGAGCACCAGUUUACAAAUAAUAGACAUGAUUUUUCAUUGAAAACUCAUAAGUUAAACCUUUUAUGUUAUCAACAUUUUAUUAAAAGAUUUUCAUGAUUGAUUUAGAGCGGUAAUUUGC
rnacentral:lncRNA from 1 species